rnacentral:rRNA from 1 species
ACACAUGCAAGUCGAGCGGAUGACGGGAGCUUGCUCCUUGAUUCAGCGGCGGACGGGUGAGUAAUGCCUAGGAAUCUGCCUGGUAGUGGGGGACAACGUUUCGAAAGGAACGCUAAUACCGCAUACGUCCUACGGGAGAAAGCAGGGGACCUUCGGGCCUUGCGCUAUCAGAUGAGCCUAGGUCGGAUUAGCUAGUUGGUGGGGUAAUGGCUCACCAAGGCGACGAUCCGUAACUGGUCUGAGAGGAUGAUCAGUCACACUGGAACUGA